UGGGAAGUGAGAGUUCCUGUGGUUUCUGCUGAGGCUCCAGCUCACCCCAGGGGUACCCAUUUGGUAUUUCACUGGAACUAGCCUGAAGGAUAAUUGCCUUGGAGACCUGGUGGAGGAAAUGAAGGCAGUGUCCAGAGUUCAUCCAAGUUUCUAGGACUUCUGACCUUGGAGGAAUUUUCUUUUCCACUGAAAACCCAUGCUGAGAAGAUGCAAAGAAGCUAUUUUGAGACAUGGAUGAGAAGGAAAAGAAUGAUCAGUGCUGUUCUCUAUCUUGAUUCUUCUUCCCUAUUGAGCCUCUUCAGAGUUUUGGUGGAGUGGAUAGACUCCUGGGCUUGGAGGCUGGAAUACUGAGAACUAUAUGGUGGAACAAGAAUAAAUCUUUGGUAAACUUGCCUACAAGUACACAGAACCCAAGAGAAAAUAUUUUCAAGCUUAAGAAAGCUCUUUUGUGGCUCUGGGGUAAUUUGUAACAAUGGACAGGAUGGAAGACUUUCUCCCUUCCUGGAGUUGUCCUGUAGCUCCCUUGAGGAAACUUCUUCCCUGGGUUCCCAGGGUCUUUCCUGGCUGUGGUGUCCUAAGUUAUUGAUGAAGAUGCUGCCAUAACCAUGGUUCUAUCAGGGAUAAUCUCACCACAGUGAUGGAGUCAAUAGCUUUGGUCCUUAUGAAGGUAACAGUUUUCUUCUGGCAGUGGGUGUUGGGUGGGAUAAGUUUGUAUGAAGGUGGAAGCUUUUCCUUUUAAGGGUUUGGAUGAAGC
rnacentral:lncRNA from 1 species